UACGUAGGGUGCGAGCGUUGUCCGGAAUUACUGGGCGUAAAGCGUGCGCAGGCGGUUGUGCAAGACCGAUGUGAAAUCCCCGGGCUUAACCUGGGAAUGGCAUUGGUGACUGCACGGCUAGAGUGUGUCAGAGGGGGGUAGAAUUCCACGUGUAGCAGUGAAAUGCGUAGAGAUCGUAAGGAAGACCAGUGGCGAAGGCGGACGUUCUGGACAGUUCACGUGACGCUGAGGCACGAAGGCCAGGGGAGCAAACGGG
rnacentral:rRNA from 1 species